GCCUCGGUGGUGUAAUGGUAGUACGCGUCCCCGGUAUGGAUGAAACGCGGAUUUAAUUCCCAACUGAGGCC